rnacentral:rRNA from 2 species
AGUAAAUUGGUUAAGUUAGAAAGGGCGCACGGUGGAUGCCUUGGCACUAGGAGCCGAAGAAGGACGGGACUAACACCGAUAUGCUUUGGGGAGCUGUACGUAAGCGUUGAUCCAGAGAUUUCCGAAUGGGGGAACCCACUAUCUUUAGUCGGAUAGUAUCCUUACGUGAAUACAUAGCGUGAGGAAGGCAGACCCA